UGUUUUUGGGGUCACCCAGCUGGACA
rnacentral:piRNA from 1 species